rnacentral:rRNA from 1 species
GUGGGGAAUCUUCCGCAAUGGACGAAAGUCUGACGGAGCAACGCCGCGUGAGUGAAGAAGGUUUUCGGAUCGUAAAGCUCUUUCGUUAGGGACGAACGUGCUCUUUGUGAAUAAUGAGGAGUAAUGACGGUACCUAAAUAAGAAGCCACGGCUAACUACGUGCCAGCAGCCGCGGUAAUACGUAGGUGGCAAGCGUUGUCCGGAAUUAUUGGGCGUAAAGCGCGCGCAGGCGGGAUAUCAAGUCUGUCUUAAAAGUGCGAGGCUCAACCUCGUGAGGGGACAGAAACUGGUAUUCUUGAGUGUUGGAGAGGAAAGUGGAAUUCCAAGUGUAGCGGUGAAAUGCGUAGAGAUUUGGAAGAACACCAGUGGCGAAGGCGACUUUCUGGACGAUGUCUGACGCUGAGGCGCGAAAGCUAGGGGAGCGAACGGGAUUAGAUACCCUUGUAGUCC